CUGCCUCUGAGGAGUCUGCAAUCAAGAGGGAGGAUGUCCCCAUAAGAAAUGCAGAUUCUGUGACCUUCAGAGGCAGCUGAAGAAAGAAAAGAUGGAGGAGAUCACGGCCCAGCAAUUCCCAGCCUGGGGCUCCUGAGUGGCCUCCUGUGGGUGUCCUGGGACUGUCACCUGCCCUCUCUCAGCCAGGUGGGCUCAAACUGCAGCGGCAGCAUCUCUGGUCCAGAUUGGGGUCUGUCUCAGUUCAUUUAUCCAGGAUCUUUUGGCAAAAAGAGAAAGACCAAGGAUUAUCCCCUUUCAGGAGAGCUCAGCCUGCUUUUUCAGGCUCUUCAAGGCCCAUCCAUCCAUGCAUGGAGAAAUAACAUGAAUGCUGGUGUGGAAACGAUGCCUGGAUACCUUUCCAAAUGCUCCAUGGCCCACUUUUCCAGAAUCCACCCUGAUCAUGCAGGUGCUGCCCGGUUAUCUUUCCAAAGCCUCCAUGGCCCACUCUUCCAGUAUCCAUCCUCGUCAUGCAGGUGCUGACCCACAUGUUUCUGGGUUAGGAAGGAAAGCAGAGGCCAGGAGGCGGAGGCUGACCCCUUUAUCUUCUGAUAAGCCCGAGAGCAGAACAGCCUCAACAAGGAUAAUUACAACAGGGAAAUAGCAUUCCUGGCCAGUGGACAAGCACCUCCUUUAAACUACACCUCAGAGCCCCACUUUGACUUGCAUCCUAUGGGGUGCUGGUCAGUGGGGGCUGAAUUCUGGGGUGCUGGGCAUCCCUCCACCAUGCAGGUCCCACAAAAGUAGCCGAGGAGGGACAGUGCUCAGAAGCAGACAGCCACAUAGACCACUGGGCUCCAUCAGGCCUCUCACCGCAGGAAGCACAGGCCGGCAAGGCCAGAGUUAAUUCCUCAGAAUAAUUGCUAAUAAUACAAAUCAACCUUUUUGGACACUGAGUAUAUACCAGGCGCUGUGCUAAGUGCUUCUAACCUAAGCGUCACCUCAUUGCCUGCUAACACCCCCUCCAGGAAACAGGCACUAUCAUAAGUCCUGCUCACAGACAUGAAAACCACAGCUGUGGGUUGACCCUCUCUGCAUCUGUAUCUAAUACUGCACCUGUUUUCUAUGAAAUCAGGACAAUAUGACUCAUAGGGCAAGAUGAUUAUUUGUUAUACAUGGAGAAAAACAAAAGCCCAAAUAAAAAAAGUAUGUUUUCUGAAGGAGAAACACAAUCCAGACA